rnacentral:rRNA from 1 species
CCUACGGGGGGCAGCAGUGGGGAAUAUUGGACAAUGGGGGCAACCCUGAUCCAGCCAUGCCGCGUGUGUGAAGAAGGCCCUCGGGUUGUAAAGCACUUUCAGUGAGGAAGAACGCCUGGUGGUUAAUACCCAUCAGGAAAGACAUCACUCACAGAAGAAGCACCGGCUAACUCCGUGCCAGCAGCCGCGGUAAUACGGAGGGUGCGAGCGUUAAUCGGAAUUACUGGGCGUAAAGCGCGCGUAGGUGGCUUGAUAAGCCGGUUGUGAAAGCCCCGGGCUCAACCUGGGAACGGCAUCCGGAACUGUCAAGCUAGAGUGAAGGAGAGGAAGGUAGAAUUCCCGGUGUAGCGGUGAAAUGCGUAGAGAUCGGGAGGAAUACCAGUGGCGAAGGCGGCCUUCUGGACUGACACUGACACUGAGGUGCGAAAGCGUGGGUAGCAAACAGGAUUAGCUACCCUGGUAGUC